rnacentral:lncRNA from 7 species
UGAUUUGGAGAAGGAACUUUUGUUUCCCGUAUGCAUUCCACUGCAGGACACCACUGCAAGUUCCUUUGCACAUAAUUCGGAACAAAUGAAAGCCAAACUGAUUUCUACAGAAGGGCCGUGAUGGGGGAGUUCUUUUUUUUUUUCUUCCAUACCCGCAGAUAACCAGUUCGGAUUUAUAUAGAGACAAAAAAUGGUUUGAACUCAGGCUCUCCUUCAGCGUGCCUCAGUGGGUAUGAGUUUCCUUGCAGCAGCAGGAGGAAAAAAGUCACCGUUGUGCGGAACUUCUUUUUUUUUUUUUCGAUUAUUCAAAAGCCUCCUUAAUAAUACAGAACAGCUGAGGGGAUUCGUGUGAUUUUAUUCCCUGUCGAAGUCGCUGAGCAAUUACAUCCAGCCACAGGGCUGUGCUUGCGCUGCUGCCGGUUGUUGCUGGGUUCUCUCUGAUGCUUUGGAAGCUGUGCCCUCCCCAGCCUAACAUGCAGGCCUAUCGUUGGACAAAUUGAGGCUCCUUUGUUCUGAUGUUAAGCGCUAAGCCCUGACAACAGAGAACAAAAGGUCCAAGAACAGCUUGUGCUAAAGGCAAAACUUUCCUUUGCUUCGUCGUAAUUCUUCCUUGUUGGCUCUGAGAACCUUGGAGGAUCUUGGUAGCUGCCUCCUAGCGAGAGCAGAAAUGUUGCAGUGCAAGGGCAAGACCUGAGGCUAUUUCUUUGGGUAUUAUUUCUGCUUAAGAAGACGUGUUCCUUAAAUGACCAGUUGACAAAGCAGAGUGAAAAUGGACAUCUGAACAACUUUUAGGUGCAGAAUGAUACAUCACAGGAUUGAUACGUUCUCAGCUUUGCUCCAGGGCCUGAGGAGAAGGAUGAUAUUCUCAUGCUCCAUAGGGAGCACGUCCCUCUCACUGGGAGCUGGCAGGACAAGCCCUGAGCAUUGCCUGGAAGCUGAGCCCCAGCCCCAGCCCAACCCGGAGCCUCUGGCAGUGGCGGGCAGGAACCUCACCAAGAUGCACGCGCAGACUGGGACGUGAAUGCAGAGUGCUGCCUCCCUUCCAGAAGGACACACGGGUGCAUCAUCUACAGGAAGAUGAUCCUUUGGCGGAUUCAGUCUCCACAUAUACAAAGACCAGAAAUGAGUAUACCAGCAGAAGGCACAUGGAGCACCAGCAGCAUUUCAUAAAUCUUCAUAACGGAAGGGGAGAUACUCCCGUCUUUUAAGACAGUUCUGAGAACAACUGCUGAGACAAGAAGCAAGAAUUUCCAGAGUCUGAAUGGAAACCUUGUGUGUCUAGCAAGUAUUUUGAGAUAAACUCCCGAAGAACCUUUAAAAUGUCAGAGAAUUAAAUGGGAAUUUGACUGAUGAUUCCAGUGAAGAUGUGGUUUUACUCCUGUGUUAGUAGGCUGAGCCAGUGAGCACUCUGACAGAUGUCAGGGAGAUCAAUGUCCUCCACAAAACGACCCUUGAAUAAUUUAUUCUGUCUUCACGAGGUCCUUCAGACAAUAUGACUGAGUGGAGAGAGGAGAAAAUGAAGGCUUGCAUGAUUUCCCGCAUUUUUCUCCUAGUGGAGCUGGAGUAAAGGAUCUCCAUUUUGAGACCCUUAAUUAUUAAACCUCUUGAUACCCUUUCCCCCGUUCUCUCAUGACUUCUUCCUUUACCCCCCAAUUUUUUUUCCACUUAAAAAUCCAUUUGACAUCUGGGUGCUGAGCCAUGGCCCUAAGUUGUAGUUUUCCCAACAGGUUAUGAAGUCCUAUUUGCUGUUAUUGGUUAUUACGUUCUUUCACUUUAAACAGUAUAAAAGCAAGCACUGUAAUUUUUUCUGUCUUUGAAACGCAGAAGAGAAAAGGUUGUGUUUUUUUUAUUUGUGAGAUCUUAAUCAUAAAUUGGUUUCUUGGACAGAAAUAUUCACUUGGCAUUAAGCAACAAUAAAGGCCUUUGCUUUCACUUCAGGCUGCUUUAGAACAUUUCAAAGGCUACAGGAAAUAUUCUUUCUAUGAUUUACGCUCUAUCUUAAUUGUGCAGCAGUAUUUCCAAAACAAUAUUGAAGGAUGUUCUUUUGUGGGUAGCUAAGAACAAAAAAAUCUUGUUUAACUUUUGAGCUAUGUAUAUUUUCUUGGCAAAGAAUAAUUUGGGAGAUGAAUAAAAGAUAGCUUUUUUGCUCCAAGGAAAGGCUUAGCUCUAGCAGACUGAAUUUUGUUACCAAUGCAAACCUAUUACAGAUUGGGUUGAAUUUUAAGGAAAGAAAACUAGGAAAAUUGAUAUUUCCCUGACUAUUUCCCAAAGACUUUUGGUUUGACUGUUUUUUAAUACAUAUUUCUCAUGC